rnacentral:rRNA from 1 species
GUGGGGAAUAUUGGACAAUGGGCGCAAACCUGAUCCAGCCAUGCCGCGUGAGUGAUGAAGGCCUUAGGGUUGUAAAGCUCUUUCACCGGUGAAGAUAAUGACGGUAACCGGAGAAGAAGCCCCGGCUAACUUCGUGCCAGCAGCCGCGGUAAUACGAAGGGGGCUAGCGUUGUUCGGAAUUACUGGGCGUAAAGCGCACGUAGGCUGAUAUUUAAGUCAGGGGUGAAAUCCCGGGGCUCAACCCCGGAACUGCCUUUGAUACUGGGUAUCUUGAGUUUGGAUGAGGUCAGUGGAAUUGCGAGUGUAGAGGUGAAAUUCGUAGAUAUUCGCAGGAACACCCGUGGCGAAGGCGGCUGACUGAUCCAUUACUGACGCUGAGGUGCGAAAGCGUGGGGAGCAAACAGGAUUAGAAACCCUUGUAGUCC